rnacentral:rRNA from 1 species
GUGCCAGCAGCCGCGGUAAGACAGAGGGUUCAAACGUUGUUCGGAAUUACUGGGCGUAAAGCGUGUGUAGGCGGCUCUACAAGUCGGAUGUGAAAGCCCCGGGCUCAACCCGGGAAGUGCACUCGAUACUGCAGAGCUUGAGUAUCGGAGAGGUUGGUGGAAUUCUCGGUGUAGAGGUGAAAUUCGUAGAUAUCGAGAGGAACACCGGUGGCGAAGGCGGCCAACUGGACGAAUACUGACGCUGAGACACGAAAGCGUGGGGAGCAAACAGGAUUAGAUACCCUGGUAGUCC